AAGAAAGACAAAAAAUAUGUCCCCGGCCCUCUGUCUCAUGUGGAGGAGGCAAACAACAAUGUUCAUACAAGGCAAAUGGGAGAUAAUCUCAAAGAAAAGAAAGGUCUGGGUCCCUCCAAUAGGAGAUGACAUCCUAAGAUCCGGUGAUGAUCCAAGUUGUUGUUCAGUUGUGUCCAACACUUCAAGACUCCAUAGAAGGUUUUCUUGGCAAGGACACUGAAGUGAUUAUAACAUGUGGAGUCAGAAGAGAACUUCCUGAUCAUUCAAUCUAAACCUCUCAUCUUCCAAAUAAAGAAACUGAGUUCCAGACACAAUAAAUGAUAUAUUGGGAGUUGGGAUUCAGACUCAAUA